GUUGGCGGCCAUAGCUGGAAGCUAGGACCCGUUCCCGUUCCGAAUGUGACGGUAAAUAUGUGAAUCUGAUCACCGGAAUCACGGAAGUGAAUCUUCCAGGCGAUUCAUGUGGUAGUGUUGUGCGAGAGCCAACGCAAAGCUUGGACCGCUGCCAAUU
rfam:Miscellaneous Crenarchaeota group archaeon SMTZ-80 WORSMTZ_517, whole genome shotgun sequence.